rnacentral:rRNA from 1 species
CCUACGGGUGGCAGCAGCAAGGAAUUUUCCGCAAUGGGCGCAAGCCUGACGGAGCAACGCCGCGUGUGGGAGGACGCCUUUCGGGGUGUAAACCACUUUUCUGGGGGACGAAGCAAGUGACGGUACCCUGGGAAGAAGGUCCGGCUAACUACGUGCCAGCAGCCGCGGUAAUACGUAGGGACCGAGCGUUGUCCGGAGUUACUGGGCGUAAAGGGCGCGCAGGCGGCCAGCCGCGUCGGGUGUGAAAGCCCACCGCUCAACGGUGGAGAGUCGCUCGAAACGGGUUGGCUGGAGGCAGGGAGAGGUCGGUGGAAUUCCCGGUGUAGUGGUGAUAUGCGUAGAGAUCGGGAGGAACACCAGUGGCGAAGGCGGCCGACUGGACCUGACCUGACGCUGAGGCGCGAAGGCGUGGGGAGCGAACGGGAUUAGAUACCCGAGUA